rnacentral:tRNA from 1 species
GCCCGGGUGGCUCAGUGGGUUAAGCGUCUGACUUCGGCUCAGGUCAUGAUCUCAGGGUUUGUGGGUUCAAGCCCCACACUGGGUU